rnacentral:rRNA from 1 species
UACGUAGGGUGCAAGCGUUAUCCGGAAUUAUUGGGCGUAAAGAGCUCGUAGGCGGUUUGUCGCGUCUGCUGUGAAAACUGGAGGCUCAACCUCCAGCCUGCAGUGGGUACGGGCAGACUAGAGUGCGGUAGGGGAGAUUGGAAUUUCUGGUGUAGCGGUGGAAUGCGCAGAUAUCAGGAGGAACACCGAUGGCAAAGGCAGAUCUCUGGGCCGUAACUGACGCUGAGGAGCGAAAGCAUGGGGAGCGAACAGG